rfam:Alligator mississippiensis ScZkoYb_1671, whole genome shotgun sequence.
AUGCAUUGAUGAUCCCCCAUGCGUGUCAUCUGAUGCUCCCUACCCUUCCCUUCGGGGAGGGUGGGUCCUAGCACUGAUCACACCUUUUCCAUACUGAGAAU